AGAGUUUGAUCCUGGCUCAGAUUGAACGCUGGCGGCAUGCCUUACACAUGCAAGUCGAACGGCAGCGCGGGGCAACCUGGCGGCGAGUGGCGAACGGGUGAGUAAUAUAUCGGAACGUACCCUGGAGUGGGGGAUAACGUAGCGAAAGCUACGCUAAUACCGCAUACGAUCUAAGGAUGAAAGUGGGGGAUCGCAAGACCUCAUGCUCCUGGAGCGGCCGAUAUCUGAUUAGCUAGUUGGCGGGGUAAAAGCCCACCAAGGCAACGAUCAGUAGCUGGUCUGAGAGGACGACCAGCCACACUGGAACUGAGACACGGUCCAGACUCCUACGGGAGGCAGCAGUGGGGAAUUUUGGACAAUGGGCGCAAGCCUGAUCCAGCAAUGCCGCGUGAGUGAAGAAGGCCUUCGGG
rnacentral:rRNA from 1 species